rnacentral:rRNA from 1 species
CGAAAGCCUGAUGCAGCGACGCCGCGUGGGGGAUGACGGCCUUCGGGUUGUAAACCCCUUUCAGUAGGGAAGAAGCGAGAGUGACGGUACCUGCAGAAGAAGCGCCGGCUAACUACGUGCCAGCAGCCGCGGUAAUACGUAGGGCGCAAGCGUUGUCCGGAAUUAUUGGGCGUAAAGAGCUUGUAGGUGGCUUGUCGCGUCUGCCGUGAAAACCCGAGGCUCAACCUCGGGCGUGCGGUGGGUACGGGCAGGCUAGAGUGUGGUAGGGGAGACUGGAACUCCUGGUGUAGCGGUGAAAUGCGCAGAUAUCAGGAAGAACACCGAUGGCGAAGGCAGGUCUCUGGGCCAUUACUGACACUGAGAAGCGAAAGCAUGGGUAGCGAACAGGAUUAGAUACCCUGGUAGUCCAUGCCGUAAACGUUGGGCACUAGGUGUGGGGGACAUUCCACGUUUUCCGCGCCGUAGCUAACGCAUUAAGUGCCCCGCCUGGGGAGUACGGCCGCAAGGCUAAAACUCAAAGGAAUUGACGGGGGCCCGCACAAGCGGCGGAGCAUGCUGAUUAAUUCGAUGCAACGCGAAGAACCUUACCAAGGCUUGACAUGCACUGGACGGCUGCAGAGAUGUGGCUUUCUUUGGACUGGUGCACAGGUGGUGCAUGGUUGUCGUCAGCUCGUGUCGUGAGAUGUUGGGUUAAGUCCCGCAACGAGCGCAACCCUCGUUUCUAUGUUGCCCAGCACGUAAUGGUGGGGACUCAUAGGAGACUGCCGGGGGUCAACUCGGAGGAAGGUGGGGUACGAACUCAAUCCUUCAUGCCCCUUAUGUCUUUGGGUUUCAAGAAUGCUACAUGGGUCGGUACCAUAGGUUUGCGAAUCUGGGAGGGGAA